CCUACGGGAGGCAGCAGUGGGGAAUAUUGCACAAUGGGGGAAACCCUGAUGCAGCGACGCCGCGUGAAGGAAGAAGUAUUUCGGUAUGUAAACUUCUAUCAGCAGGGAAGAAAAUGACGGUACCUGACUAAGAAGCCCCGGCUAACUACGUGCCAGCAGCCGCGGUAAUACGUAGGGGGCAAGCGUUAUCCGGAUGUACUGGGUGUAAAGGGAGCGGAGGCGGUGCAGCAAGUCAGAAGUGAAAGCCCGCGGCUCAACUCCGGGACUGCUUUUGAAACUGUUGAACUAGAUUGCAGGAGAGGUAAGUGGAAUUCCUAGUGUAGCGGUGAAAUGCGGAGAUAUUAGGAGGAACACCAGUGGCGAAGGCGGCUUACUGGACUGUAAAUGACGCUGAGGCUCGAAAGCGUGGGGAGCAAACAUGAUUAGAUACCCUUGUAGUC
rnacentral:rRNA from 1 species